rnacentral:misc_RNA from 1 species
GAUGAAGAACGUAGCGAAAUGCGAUACGUAAUGUGAAUUGCAGAAUUCAGUGAAUCAUCGAAUCUUUGAACGCAUAUUGCGCUCUUUGGUAUUCCGAAGAGCAUGCUUGUUGGAGUAUCAGUAAACACCUCAACCUCUUCUUGAUUUUUCAAAAGGAGGGUGGACUUGAGCUAUCCCAACAACCUUUACCGGUCGGCGGGCGGCUUGAAAUGCAGGUGCAGCUGGACUUUUAUCUGAGCUAAAAGCAUAUCUAUUUAGUCCUCGUCAAACAGGAUUAUUACUUUUGCUGCAGCUAACAUAAAGGAUAAUUGUCCUCUUUGCUGACUGAUGCAGGAUUUUACGACACUUUAUGUGUUGUUCAACUCGAUCUCAAAUCAAGUAAGACUACCCGCUGAACUUAAGCAUAUCAAUAAGCGGAGGA